rnacentral:rRNA from 1 species
GACGAACGCUGGCGGCGUGCCUAAUACAUGCAAGUCGAACGCAGGGGGGACGGGUGAGUAACACGUGGGUAACCUCCCAUCAGAGGGGAGAACCCUUGGAAACAGGUGCUAAACCGAUACUGAUGGAUGAACCCGCGGUGCAUUAGCUAGUUGGUGAGGUAACGGCUCACCUAGUCCAAGAUGCAUAGCCGACCUGAGAGGGUGAUCAGUCACACUGGGACUGAGACACGGCCCAGACUCCUACGGGAGGCAGCAGUAGGGAAUCUUCGGCAAUGGACGCAAGCCUGACCGAGCAACGCCGCGUGAGUGAAGAAGGUUUUCGGAUCGUAAAUCACUUUUGUUAGAGAAGCGGUAUCUAACCAGAAAGCCACGGCUAACUACGUGCCAGCAGCCGCGGUAAUAC